rnacentral:rRNA from 1 species
CAGUCCCGCGGGAAUACGAGGGGGGCAAGCGUUGUUCGGAAUUAUUGGGCGUAAAGGGUGCGUAGGCGGUUUGGCAAGUUUGGUGUGAAAUCUUCGGGCUCAACUCGAAGUCUGCAUCGAAAACUGCCGGGCUUGAGUAUGGGAGAGGUGAGUGGAAUUUCCGGUGUAGCGGUGAAAUGCGUAGAUAUCGGAAGGAACACCUGUGGCGAAAGCGGCUCACUGGACCAUAACUGACGCUGAUGCACGAAAGCUAGGGGAGCAAACAGGAUUAGAGACCCCGGUAGUCCCUGUCUCUUAUACC